GGUGGGAUAGCAAAGUGGCCCAAUGCGCCUGCCUUGAGAGCAGGUGGCGCUUCGCGCCUCAUGGGUUCAAAUCCCAUUCCCACCG
rnacentral:tRNA from 1 species